AUGUUUAGAGAAAGCAAAAAAGACAUAAUAACCAAGAGAAUAGAAGAAUUUCUUCAGCUGCAACUCCGUCCUUCAGGGCAGACUUCGUUAGUGGAGAAGCGCAGGGACUUUUGGAAUUGUCUGAGGAGAAGAGAUGCUGGUUUGUUGAAUCAGUUGCAAGAACGGGACAAGCAGAUCAGUGACCUGAGGCUGGAUGUAGAAAAGACUUCUGAAGAGCGCCUGGAGACUGACAGCCGGCCCAGCUCUGGGUUUUAUGAACUGAGUGACGGGGCUUCAGGAUCCCUUUCCAACUCCUCCAACUCGGUGUUCAGUGAGUGCUUAUCCAGCUGUCACUCCAGUACUUGCUUCUGCAGCCCCCUGGAGGCAGCCUUGACUAUCUCAGAUGGUUGCCCCAAAGCGGCAGAUGUGAAUCCCAAGUACCAGUGUGACCUGGUGUCUAAGAAUGGGAACGACAUCUAUCACUAUCCCAGCCCCCUGCACGAGGUGGCUGUGCAGAGCCCGAUGUUCCUCCUGUGUCUGGCGGGCACCCCUCUCAGGGAAGAGGAGCAGCUUGAGAACCCGGCCGCUGACCUUUGUGUUGGACCCGAACUAGAUGUCGCCAAAGCAGAUGGCUCCUUACCAUCGCCGAGCAGUCUGUGGCCUGCCUCCCGUCCUUCAUUCAGUAAGAAAAUGGAUGGCUACAUUUUGAGCCUGGUCCAGAAAAAGCCACAUCCUGUAAGGACCAACAAACCCAGGACCAGCGUGAGUGCAGACCCCACGAAAGGGCUUCUGAGGAAUGCGAGCGUGUGUGUCCGGGCCGCCGGGAGCAGUGGCACGCAGGUCAGCGGUGUAAACCUGAAGAAUGCGAAGCUGGUGUGUCUGCCCUCUGGCGGAAUGCCCUCUCCGGAAAGCUCGACUUUCUCCCCGCUGAAGCAGUGGUCGAAGGACCCCAAGGCAGAACUGGAAGGCAAGAGGCUGAUAGUGUCCGAGGGUUGCUUAGCAGGCGCUGCGUUGGAGCUCCCAAGCAAACACCUCCCCAGAAAUGCCAAGGCAGCCUCCCAGGAUCAGGCUUGGGGUCCUGCCGCCCCGGGGGCAGGAGAGUCCCUGAAAGAAAGCGGUCAGGCCCCGGCUGCCGCUCACAAGGAGAGCCCCGGCCAGGGCCCCGGGCCCACGCCGGAGCACAAAGCCGCGCAGCCCCCGAAGAAGAUGGCUCCCAAGAGCAGCCUGCAGCCCGCCCUGGCUCCCGGUCCUGCCCCGCUGCUGCCCGCAGCCUUUGUGGCGGAGGAGAGGCCGGCCUUGGACUUCAAAAGCGAGGGCUCUUCCUCCCAAAGCCCGGAGGACGGCCCCCUGGUGAAGGCGCAGUUCGUCCCGGGGCAGCAGCCGGCGGCCCGGCUCCCCCGCGGCCACAGGAGCGCGGGCGGCGCGCGGAGCUCCACCCUGCGGCCGCGCGGCCAGGCUCCCCCGGGGCUGGACAGUGGCCUGCCCACGGUCAGGGAGAAGGCCCGCGCCGCUGGCAAGAAGUGUCGCUUCCCCGACGACUUGGAUACAAACCGGAGACCCAAGAGGGCCUCUUGCAAGGGCCGGAAGGGAGGAGGCGGGGCCCCCGAGGCCCUGCACGCAGGCCGGCUGGUGGGCGCAGGAGGCCCCAGGGCCGGAAGCAAGGCGCACGGCCACGGACGGGAGGCCGUGGUGGCCAAACCUAAGCACAAACGAACCGAUUACCGCCGCUGGAAGUCCUCGGCCGAGAUCUCCUACGAAGAGGCCCUGUGGAGGACCCGUCGGGCGCGCCGCGAGCAGCACGUGGGCGUGUACCCCGUGCCCGUGCCGCUGCCCUACGCCAGCCCCUACGCCUACGCCGCCAGCGACUCCGAGUACUCGGCCGAGUGCGAGUCCCUCUUCCACUCCACCGUGGUGGACACGAGCGAGGACGAGCAGAGCAACUACACCACGAACUGCUUCGGCGACAGCGAGUCCAGCGUGAGCGAGGGCGAGUUCGUGGGCGAGAGCACCACCACCAGCGACUCGGAAGAGAGCGGGGGCCUGAUUUGGUCCCAGUUUGUGCAGACUCUCCCGAUGCAGACGGUCGCCGCGCCGAACCCCACAAAAACCUUCGUCAAAAUUAAGGCUUCGCACACCCUCAAGAAGAAAAUCCUACGCUUUCGGUCUGGCUCUUUAAAGCUCAUGACCACAGUUUGAGUAUCCCUGAUGUGCGGCGGCUUUCCCCUUAGCUUCUGAUGCAAGGGGGAAGAAAGUGAUGUCUUAGUUUUUGCGUAACGCUUUCACGAAAUUGCUUUUACUGAGAUAAAACCAAGGUAAAUUAUGUUUCCUCUUUAUGUAUAGACACUAGUGCCUUUAAUGGAAGGUAAAGGAUGUGUUGCUAGUUAGAAGUAAAUAUUGAGAUUGUAAUGGUAAUUGUGAAUGAGUUUUGUGCUCUCAGCUGAUUUUAAUUUUCAGAGCAUCUGGUAAGGUACAGGUUUAGACCUUUACAUUUUAGUGGGAUGAGACAUUUUGCUCCCAAGGUCAGUCAGGUGGGUGGAAUUUUUUAGGACUUUUGUCUUUUGAUUCUUCAGGGCAGAGCCUCUGCAAGGGCUUCUGGUGGCAUGGCACUGCCCGAGGCAGACUUUUUUAUGCCUUUUUAUACUACAGUCGGCAUUUGUCAUAUCUUCCCCAGUCUGUUUGCUUCUCAGAACUGUGCUGUUCACUGGACUUGGAACUUGUAGACCAGAUCCCAAAUCCAGAGGUGGCAGUCUGGACAGGGGCUCUGGUAUUACUUUCAAAGGACUCCCAAAACCUUUUGCCACACUUGGUGCCUGGGGCCUGGUUAUAGUAACUUCUUCCUGGGCCAUAUAGCCAGCAUUUUGAUGCCUUUCUAGCCUUCUCUUAAUUUGUAGCAAAUACAAUAAUUGGAGAACUUGCCUUUGGGGUAAAAUGUUGGUACGCUGGUAGAGAGAAACUCACUCUACAUCCAAUAACUUUUGGGCAUGAUUCUAAGCCUGGACUUGCCCGCCGAGCACUGUGCAACCUAAGCUUUGGCCUGAACAGUAGUGCAAUCCAGUCCAGAUUGGACCACUGACCUUAGCUGGAAGGGCUUACUUUUUUUUUUUUUUGGUGAACAGUAUUGUGUAAAAUUGUUCUUUUUAUAUC